UACGGGGGGGGCAAGCGUUGUUCGGAAUUACUGGGCGUAAAGGGCGCGUAGGCGGUUUGCUAAGUUGGAUGUGAAAACUCUGGGCUUAACCCAGAGCCUGCAUCCAAAACUGGCAAACUUGAGUACUGGAGGGGAAAGCGGAAUUCCUGGUGUAGCGGUGAAAUGCGUAGAUAUCAGGAGGAACACCGGUGGCGAAGGCGGCUUUCUGGACAGUAACUGACACUGAGGCGCGAAAGCGUGGGGAGCAAACAGG
rnacentral:rRNA from 1 species